AUGCGGGAAGCGAACAGACAGCAGCCAGAGGAGGCAGCCUUGUUUUCUGUGCUGAAAAAAGUAAUUCUAAGGUUCAAUGCAGUGAAAUACCCAAAGAGGGGAGAAAUCUGGAAGGAUGAAUGUUAUCAGAAUUUUUCAAACAGUAGGAGAAAAAAAAUCAGCUGGUUUGCAGUGAAAAGGCAUCUGUGCUUAGAGUUUAGUUCUCUCUUCAUCCUUUACUGAAUUAUAUUUGAUGAAUCCAAAAUAAGUGAAAUGUCAUUUCUCAACUACCUGAGUGGUUGGAAAAACAAAAACAAAAACAGAACAGAAGCCCCUUUUCGUGGUACAAAAUGACAUCCUAGGAUUUAUAGAUAAGUAUGUACAGAAACCAAAGCAACAGAGUUAGUGGUGAAGGUCCUUUGUCUGCUGAACCACCUCUUCAGCAAAGUGAAAGACCACUAAAAUGACGUCUUUAUUGGUAAGUGCCUCUUUUCAGUAAGUACUGAUCAAACCAAUCAUUUAAAACAUGUGUAGUUGGGAGAAACUCCUCAGCUUCAUGAACACUGUUUACUAAUGAUCUCCUGAUCUCUGCUCCUUUUGACAGGAUUGGAGCUGAUAUUUAUUGGGAAGAGACGAGAGGCCUGGUUUAAGUAAAUUACUCCACAUCUUGGAGGACUGAGGCAGAACUAAAAGCAAGAAGCCCAUAGGGGUUCCCUUUGUGGCUCAGCAAUAACGAAUCCAACUAUUAUCCAUGAGGACACGGAUUCCAUCCCUGGCCUCGCUCAGUGAGUUAAGGAUCCAGUGUUGCCAUGAGCUGUGGUGUUGGCUGGCAGCUACAGCUCCAAUUUGACCCCUAGCCUGGGAACUUCCAUAUGCUUCGUGUGCAGCCUUAAAAAGAACAAAAAAAAAAAAAAUGAAGCCCAUAAACGUUCUAGAGAAAUGGUUCCCAAGGGUGCAAAUAUUUCCUAUUGCAGAUGCAGGAGGAAGCUCCCAUGAGCAUUGGAGAGCAGAAACAUUGAAAAGCAGAGUUGACAAUCCAGGUAACCACCUCCUCACUUUUACUUCUGUGAGAGCUCAUCCUUCAAACAACCAUCCUGACAUCUACCCUGACAGCCAUCAAUUGUAGAGGAUGCACAUGGAGCUCGAUACAUUAUUUGCUCUGCUUUGUCUGAUUUCAGCAGCAGCUGCAGGCUGAGGGUGUCACACCAUGACUGGCCACUGUUCUUAAGUUUUUCUCUAAAACCAAGGGAAGUUGCUCCGGAAGUGUGGGAGAAUUAAUUUCCCAGAGGGACACUGUUAUGCAGUGGGAGAUUGGAGUCAUUAAUAAAAAUGCCCCAAGCACCCA
rnacentral:lncRNA from 1 species